rnacentral:rRNA from 1 species
UGGGGAAUAUUGGACAAUGGGCGAAAGCCUGAUCCAGCAAUGCCGCGUGAGUGAUGAAGGCCUUAGGGUUGUAAAGCUCUUUUACCAGGGAUGAUAAUGACAGUACCUGGAGAAUAAGCUCCGGCUAACUCCGUGCCAGCAGCCGCGGUAAUACGGAGGGAGCUAGCGUUGUUCGGAAUUACUGGGCGUAAAGCGCACGUAGGCGGCCAUUCAAGUCAGAGGUGAAAGCCCGGGGCUCAACCCCGGAACUGCCUUUGAAACUAGAUGGCUUGAAUCUUGGAGAGGCGAGUGGAAUUCCGAGUGUAGAGGUGAAAUUCGUAGAUAUUCGGAAGAACACCAGUGGCGAAGGCGACUCGCUGGACAAGUAUUGACGCUGAGGUCGAAGCGUGGGGAGCAAACAGGAUUAGAUACCCUGGUAGUCCACGCCGUAAACGAUGAUAACUAGCUGUCCGGGUUCAUGGAACUUGGGUGGCGCAGCUAACGCAUUAAGUUAUCCGCCUGGGGAGUACGGUCGCAAGAUUAAAACUCAAAUGAAUUGACGGGGUCAUAGCUGUUUCCU